rnacentral:misc_RNA from 1 species
AACACCUCAACCUCCUCUUGAUUUUUCAAAAGGAGGGUGGACUUGAGCUAUCCCAACGACCUUCACCGGUAGGCGGGCGGCUUGAAAUGCAGGUGCAGCUGGACUUUUAUCUGAGCUAAAAGCAUAUCUAUUUAGUCCUCGUCAAACAGGAUUAUUACUUUUGCUGCAGCUAACAUAAAGGAUAAUUGUCCUCUUUGCUGACUGAUGCAGGAUUUUACGACACUUUAUGUGUUGUUCA